rnacentral:tRNA from 1 species
GCCGAAGUGGCGGAACCGGUAGACGCGCUGGUCUCAAAAACCAGUGAGGGUAACCUCGUGAGGGUCCGAGUCCCUCCUUCGGCACCA